UACGUAGGGUGCGAGCGUUAAUCGGAAUUACUGGGCGUAAAGCGUGCGCAGGCGGUUCGUUAAGUCAGAUGUGAAAGCCCCGGGCUCAACCUGGGAACUGCAUUUGAAACUGGCGGGCUUGAGUAUGGCAGAGGGGGGUGGAAUUCCGCGUGUAGCAGUGAAAUGCGUAGAGAUGCGGAGGAACACCGGUGGCGAAGGCGGGAUCCUGGGCCAGUACUGACGCUGAGGUGCGAAAGCGUGGGGAGCAAACAGG
rnacentral:rRNA from 1 species